GUUCGAUGAUCAUUUCGGUAGUUGGUGUGGUGUUAAUGGUUCGACAUCACCGAGGAUCGGACUUACACAACCAAAAAUUCUUAUUUGGGCAGUACUACUGCCGCCGAAAAAAUACGUCGAAACAAUGUCCGUAUUACACCGCAGAAAAGUCACCGUCAUUGAAAGUCAUUGAGUUCCGUACAACCGACGCACGUAACGCAUUGGCUAGUUCUAUUGAACUCCCAAGACACAAUGGUAUUUUUGGUAAAUUGCUUUCUGUUACCUAUUUCACCGUCGAACAACGAAGUCGAUGAAUUAUCUGCAACGAGCUAAGGAAAAAGUACCGUCAUCACUCAUCGAAAACUUGAACGAAGUGCGAAUAGCUGUUGCUCAUAGAGUAUUGGGAAUUUCGUCGAACAGAUCGAUGUUACUUUACGUCAUGCAAAUAUUACGAUUUGUGAUCUGUGGUAUCGAAAUCUCAAUGUGUAUCACAGAUUUAAUUUACAGCUGUAGUACUAUCACGUUUUCAACAUGUCAUAGAAUCGGUAUGAUGAAUUCAGCGUUCACAUGAGGUUCUGAUUCGUUUGUCAAACAUACUGAUUCCGUCGGAAGGCAAUUAACGUUAACUUCAUCAAAAGACAACGCGUUAGAAGAUUCGUUAACAUUGCAUCCAGAACAAAUAGCUGACAUUGGUAACACGUCUGCUGCUCGUGAAGCUUCGUUAACAUUGGUUUCAGAACAAAUAACCGGCAUUGGUAACAUUCCUGCUGCUCGUGAAGCUCGGCGAGUAAUUGCAAGAAUUCGACUUCUUCUUGCGACAAGACAAAUAUCCCUUCUUUAUCCAUUUCAAAGUAAGAAAAUAAUAUGACAAAUAACCGGCAUUGGUAACUUUGCAUUCAAUUGGAAUUAUAAUGUACUUCACCUAUUGCACCAAAAAAUGAUGUAAGCUUGUUUGUUAAUCGAAACUCAUCUGACAUCGAGAAGCAUGCAGCGAAUGCAUAUUAUAGAUGUAGACAAAUUUAUGGCCACCGCCAUCGAAUUAUUAACUUCCACUGUUAAAACAACAUGACAAAUGGAAAAUAAAAUUUCUGUACCGAUGGUUAUUCUAAAAAAUUAGAAGGGGCUUUCUGCAAGUACCUAUUACAUAGUGUUCGCUGGAACAGGUGGUAUUGGUAGUCAGACUUUAGGCUUUCAAAAUUGGAAAAAUGCUUUAGAAGUAUUUGAAAAACAUAAUGAACACAACGGUGAAAACUUUUUAAAAUUAUUUUCAAAAAUCCAACCAAAUAUUAUUUAAGUUUUGGAUGAUCAAAGAUUGAAACAAAAGAAACAAAAUAGAUCCAAUAUUCUUCCAAUCAUAAAAUGUGUCAUUCUUUGUGGAAGAAAGAAACUUUCCCAACGCGGGCAUAGAGAUUUUGUUUCAAUUUGUUAAAAAAAAAAAAAUUAAAAUUAACAAUCAAACAUCAAAUAUCAACGAAGAAUUUAAUUAAUUGUUUGAAGAAGCCGAAAAAAUGGUCAAUAACCUAAACAUCAGUAUACCAGUAAAACAUUUAAAUAAAAGAAGUACACAUAGAGGCAUAGAACUAAUCUCAAUGUUAAAGAUGCUAAUGGGUACUAUCGUAUAACAGUAGCUAUACUAUACAUAGAUUCUUUUAUUCAACAGUUAAAUGAGCGAUUUUAUGCCAUAAAAAUAUAUUUUAAGGAUUUCAGAGUUCAUAUUCAAACGACUUUGGUGAACAUGUUACAUUUUAUCUUGAUAGAUAUCUUUCCCGUUAUUUUUGAAGCGUCCAAUCCUUCGAUACGAAGUCCAUCGAGGCUCCGAACUCUGCUAAUGAUGACGUACGCUUGACCUUGUACGAAUAGUUUCUGUCCCAAGUAAACAACAAUAUAAUCGACUGUGAUGCCCUGCAUUUUAUGGGCUGUUGAAGCCGAUGAUAAUAUUAAAGGCAGCAACGGCGCUCGGCAGUUCCAUAACUGAAUUUUGCUGGAAAUUGUAUUGAUUUUGGUUUGAUCAGGUGGAUCCCAACCACGCCAAAAUCCACCAUUACGUCCGAAUUUUUUAUCUUCAAACAGUGCCUCAAAUCGAGCGCGCAAGAUUUGAUUACAGACAAACAGACGUGAAAGCGAACUAAAAGUGUGUAAAAAUACAGUAAUGGCUGAGUUACAUUAAUUAUGGCAUGCUUUGUUAAAAAAAAAUAAACAAUGACCAAAAAAUGGUUUAGAAGCUUUGAGACUUUGUAAAAAUGAAAUACUUCCAAAUAAUUAUCAUUUAUUAAAAAUAUUAUGUACUCUACCUGUCUCAACAGCGACACCGGAAAAAACAUUUUCAUGUCUUAAAAGACUGACAAAUUAUCUGCGUAGCACGGUGAUAGAAACUAGACUUAAUGAAUUGACAAUACUAGCCGUUCACAAGGAAAUUCCAAUAAUAGCUGAAGAAGUCCUUGAUAAAUUGGCCAAAAAACCUAGAAAAUUAGACAUCAUUCUUUAAAAAAUAUGUUAUGUAUUUAUAUUAUUAUAUAUAAUAAAUAUGUGUUAUGUAUAAUACCUAUAUUUUAUAUUAUUAUAUGGAUCUAUUAAAAA